GACGAACGCUGGCGGCGUGCCUAACACAUGCAAGUCAAGGCGGUAGCAAUACCGACUGGCGCACGGGUGCGGAACACGUAGGUAAUCUGCCCUUUAGGGGAGAACAACUCAUCGAAAGGUGAGCUAAAUCUCCGUAAUGUUUUACUAUGGCAUCAUAGUUCAACCUAAGUUUUCUAAGGGAUGAGCCUGCGUCUGAUUAGCUAGUUGGUGAGGUAACUGCUCACCAAGGCUACGAUCAGUAGCUGGUCUGAGAGGAUGAUCAGCCACAUUGGGACU
rnacentral:rRNA from 1 species